rnacentral:misc_RNA from 1 species
AAGUCGUAACAAGGUUUCCGUAGGUGAACCUGCGGAAGGAUCAUUAACACGUAUCCAAACGUUAAAACCCCCCCCGUGAACCUUCAUCCUGCUCUUGUAACCCGCGUAGUUCGCAAUCUCUGAUAAAUCAUAGCCCGGAAAGUUGUAGUGAUUCAGAGACCUCUGGCUACGUGCGAACAUUGGAACAGUUACAAUCGAGCGGUAGUUCUAUAGGCAAUGUUUCCCCAAG